UCACGUGAGCGCAAAAACACAUCUCCUCCCCGCAAAGCCGCCGCAAAUCCGUUCUCCCUUUCCCAAACCCCUCCAGUCCAGAUCGCCGCGGAGGCCGAAUCGAAACCCUAGACCAUUUCCAUGGAGCGAAGCGGCGGCGGCGGCCAGAUCGCCGCGAAGCGUGCGAAGCCCCCCGACGGCGGCGGCCAGAUCUCCGCGAAGCGUGCGAAGCCCCCCGACGGCGGCGAGGACCGCCUCAGCGCCCUCCACGACGACCUCCUCCUCCGCAUCCUGGUGCUUCUCGACACCACCGAGGCCGCGCGGACCAGCGUGCUCGCGUGCCGCUGGAGAAGUCUCUGGCGCGACGCCCCGGAGGUACGCUUCAACCCCGCCCCCGACGGCAACCGCAUCCGCGACGCGCUCGACGCCCGUGACGACGCCACGUCGUCGCUCCGCCGCAUCUCCGUCACCGCCAAAGACGCCGCCUCUGAUUCCGUGGCGGCCUGGCUUCCGUCCGCCGCGCGUCACCUGGUCGGUGACCUUAUCUACCGCGUAGUGGGUCCGAAGAGCUCCGUCAACGAGGAGGACGAGGAGGAUGAAGAUGAGGAGGAUGAGGAGGAGGUGGUGAAGGAGGCCGGGGAGAGAGGCGUCGUUGAGCUGCCCUGCUUCGAGAAAGCAAGCAAGAUGCAGCUGAAGCUAAGGUAUCAACGCCUCGCCUUCCCUCUCCAGGGCGUCUUCAACAAGCUCACCAGCCUUUUGCUGAGCCGCGUCCGAUUCCACGGCCCGGGCGACCUCGGCAAUGCUGUCUCCGAGCCACACUCCCCGUGCUUGCAGAAGCUCUGCGUCUUGGAAUCCCGCGGGCUGCACAAUCUCUCCAUCCACUCUAAGUCGCUCCUGAAGAUAAAGCUGUUCAACCUUGGUAGGAGCUUGCGGCAGCUCACAAUUGUCGCGCCGAAUCUCAAGAAGUUAGGCAUGGCAUACUGCCUGUUUGACAAUGCUCACAGGAAACCAGUUGCUAACAUCUCAGCGCCUCAGAUGGUGUCCCUGGCGUGGGUCGAUGCUUAUGAUCCACAAACUGUCCAUCUUGGAAAUUUAGGACAAGUCCAACUCCUGAGGACCAAAAUUUUCUGGGUAUAUGGGUCGCAAGUCCAAAGAGAGCAGAAUCAAUGUCUAAAAUUUUUGCAGCAAUUCAAGGUUCCUCGUAGUCUUAAUCUCAUCCUCAUCAAUCAGCCGGACUUAGAUGGCUAUCAAUGCUUGUUGGGAGACAUAACACUGCCCCCACAAAUUAUGUACAUGCACCUGGAUAUAUUAAAUGAUGGACAUGCUUUUGGAGCCACUUUAUUCAAGGUGCUUAGGAUGUGUUCUGGUUUAAGAAGAUUGUCAUUUGAAUUCUACACAAAUAGCGACUUGGAGGCACAAGUUACUUGUCCACCAGGUUGCAUUUGUGAUGAGCAAGAAAAGUGGAAAACUGAGGAAUUCCUUUUGAAUCGCCUCCAAAUAGUAGAAAUAAUUGGGUUGAGAGGAUCUCAAUAUGAAGUAAGCUUUGUAAAACAAGUAUUCCAUUGGGCGAAGGCUGUAAAAUGGAUGAAAUUUACUUUCAACUCUUCAGUGUCUGAAAACAUGGCCAAGGAGUUGUGUCAGGUUUUCCAAAGCUUCUCCAGGCCAGAAAUAUGUAUGGAGUUCUACAACACUAGUCCAAAUUAAAACACUAGUUCUCCAGGCCAGAAAUAUGUAUGGAGUUCUACAUGGAGAAGGACAUGAUCAAGGUUCAACGUACCCAAGGGCUUGCUGUUUAACAAGUGUGAUAUCCUCCGUACUUGUAGCCAUGCCAUGAAUGCACCCUCACUGUUGUUGGUUGACCAAUUUGGAAAUAUUUGGGUUGCAAGCACUUGGCGGUUUCAUUAUGGAGUGAUUUCAUGAGUAGGAUGAAUCUGAUGCGCAUGCAGCCUCAUCCAUGAUCUCUCCUCCGGCUUAGAGGGUCUACUAACGACUAUUAACAAUGGUGGAGAAGUCGAUGGGUCACAUCCCCUCAUAGUCACAUGCAGCUUUGCCUGAUAUCCUUCCAUAGUAAGUGUUGGCAAAUCAUUAGCAUAAUUCCAAUCAUACCCCAAUUGAUGCAUUGUCUAGUUUAGAAUGGCUUCAAAACUGCACCCUCAUAAGUGUUGGCAGAAAAAAAAGAUGUGAGAACUAAACUUUCCAAUAGUACUAAACAACAAAUCUCAAUAUUAUGAGUUCGGCUUCGACUAUACCACAUCAUCUCGGUUGUUUUGAGCAAUCCUUGCACAAAAGCUCACAACAUCAUCACACGAGUCCUCAUUUAGAGCUUGUAUCAGCAUAGAGGUGAAUGUGGGUAUGGAAAACCCAAUAUUCGCAAGCUUAUGUAAACAUACCUUUAUAGCUUGUUUUUCUGCAAUAAACUUCUAGAGUGUUGUUCUUUCUGUAUCUAAGAUUUGUACAACACCUGUGCAACUAUUUGUGGGGAUGCAGAAUCCAAUUCGACAUUGGAAGAAUAAUAGGCACACUAAUGGUUUCAACAUCCAACGCUUCAACAUCAAAAUGUUUGAGUGUCUCUUCAAGCUAAACAAUUGGGUCAAUUACCUAUGGUACAUUUAAGAAUCACAUAUGUAUACAAAUCAGAAAAUUAAUUUAUAUAAGGGUAUUUGACACAUUAUUUUACUGAAAACAUAUUGAGUUGCUUACUAUGCCUGGAUGAUUCAACAAUGUUACGAAACUAAGCCUACAUCAGCUUCCAAAUAAGAAAAGCAACAAUGACCAUAGCCAUAAAUACAAGCAUGGCAUCUUUUCAAGACCAAGGAGCCUCCCUAAUGGCGUCUUGGUGACAUUGUGUCCUUCCUCCCCACCAGCAACAGCGCCCGCACGCAGGUGGCACUACUACACAAAACUUUACUUUGGCAGGCACUAUAAGAAAUCCUUUAAUCUAUGACGGAUUUCUCGUGACAGAUUUAGAAAAUGUCACUAACAAGAGUUUGCAGGGAUUUGCUAGCAUUGGAUAUCCAACCCAGGGCCUGAAACCUGCUUGCAUAUAAAGGCGUCAAAAACCCCUGACCCGAGCUGCCUCCUCUCCACCAGCCACUGCCCCUACCUCUCCCUAACUGAGUUGCCUCCUCUUCUCGAGCCACUGCCCCCAUCCUGUCUGGUGCUUUCGACCCUACCUCAAGGCUCGGCGCAGAAAAGGCCAGUGCAUAGCAUGGAGGAGGCCGAGGGCAGCGCCCUCUACCCCAGCCCUCAGAAGGAGAGGAGGCCGGCGCGCGGCAUGUGGGGGAGGCCGAUGGUGGCGCUGCACCCCAGCUCCUCUCCCCACCUGUGUCGUCAUGCACCUGCGUGCCCUCACAUCCAUGCCCAAGGUCGCUAGCACUGAAACACUAGGCGAGAGGCAAUGAAAGUGCAGCUGCGACACACUUAGCUGGAUCUAACUGGUGACGGCGACUCCUCUGAUCUAGUUUGGCCCUGGCUGGCCCCUCCAUCUCUCUUCUUGGCCAACGGCUCCCAGGUUUUGUAUUGAGCAGCAUGAGCAUCACUUUAUCCAGCAUUCUGCUAACAGCACGAGCAGCAGCAUAGACUGACAACCAUCUCCAGAGAAGAUUCUUGCACUGCUGAAUCAGGAGACAAUAGAAAGAUCAAGAACCAAAUGCACCAAGUUUAUUCAAGGACAGAUAGUGUGCUACUCCGGCAAGAAAAUAAGGAUAC